rnacentral:lncRNA from 1 species
UCACUUUUCUGAAAGAGACAGAGGUUCUCCUGCACAGUGGCUGUUUAAUGCCAAGGAAAUGCAGACCUAUAGAUACUGUGAUGAAUCAGACAGAAACAAGGACUCCCUCAUCAGCUUCCAUGCCCUCUGGCCUACUGGCAUAAAUAUGCUGCACAGUGACAUGCAGAAAGCUGGGUUUGAGUACCCAUGUGGCUAAUAACUAUCAUUUUACCGUGUUAAUUUUAACUUAGAUUUGUUCUGUUUGUUGUCAUUGCAUGGCUGCCAAAUGCUUUGUUCUGGCACAGAAGAAAUGAUGGCAUGGAGUCAGGGAGAAAAGGUGAAAAGUGAGAAAGGAACCAGAACCACUUUUCUUAGUAGCACUGGCUUACCCUGAGUUUGUCCUGACCUACCUAGAGGAACUAAAUGAAAGAGGAGGUGACCCAGACAGAAAACCGCAUUCACCAUGGGGCCUGAUCUGCAGCUCAUCAGGAGAUAGACAGCAGCUCAGCAGAAGAGAUUCUGCAAAAAAAUGUCAGCAACCCCAAUCAGAAACAACUUUCAGGACCUUUGGACGCCCAUUUAAUGCCUGCAGAUCCCCUAGGGGAGACUACACAGCUGACAGUGGCACUGGUGAGGAAACUAGAAGAGAAACAUCCUAA